rnacentral:lncRNA from 1 species
CAAAACUGCUUUUUCUUUGUGUCCCUUGUCAUGGAUUAUGUUGGUUAUAUUUUUAUUCAGAUCAAGCAAUAGGGGUUAAGCUGAAGUUCCCUCAAGACCAAGUAGCCAGCGCUUCUUCGCUUGGCCCCAGACCUAUCUGCUCAUAGUUGUCUCCUUUCUCUUCCCCUUAAAAGCCUCCUGUUGGUACAUUACACAGGCACCUGAUCUUCAACCAUGCACAAUGUUGUGCUUUGCAUGUCUUUUCUUCUGUAUCUUGCCAUUUUCUGGCAUCAUCUGUAAGCGUUCCCAAGAUGCAGAUGUCUGUCCUUGUUUUUGACUGCCUGUGCAGUGUCUUUGUGGGGUUAAACUAUUAUAUAUCAGGAGAUCUCAUCUGAGGAAACAGUGCAGGGCCAGAGGUGGGACAUGGAAGCUUUUGUUUCAACUUCCCAGUUGAGUCAGGUGGUCAUCUCCAGGAAGGAUUGCCUGUGGAUCUCAGGAACUGCCCAUGCGAGGGCUUUGAGACCAGUUCCCUUGUGGCUUUCUCUCGUUCCUUGUCCCAGUCACUCUCACGUGAAGCAAAGGCGUGUUUCUUUAUUCACACGUUUACAUAACCCUCACUAAGACCCACAGUGUGCUAGGCUCUGUUAGAGUACAGGUCACUCAGGAUUCCAUGAUUAGCUGUGUGCUGUGUAGUUGGAACACAGUGCUUCACAGUUAAGUAGGAAGCGUUCCUCUUGAGGUUCCAAUGCUGGCCCACUGUUAGUCAUCCAAGGGGCUUUACCCAACUUUCUUCAUCCUGCUGGAACUCAUGUUCUCUGUUGUAUGUCCCCCUAGCUACUACUUCCAGCUAUCAUGCUCAUUGAGUGUGACUACCCUGAUGCUCAGUAACCAAGAUGUCAACCACUGAUAUUGUCAUUGUUCUUUCAUACUUUAUGUUCAUGCUUAUAAGGGCAGGAAAUCUCAAAUCAUCUGACUUCAUACAUGAGAGAAAGUGAGGAAGAGAUGUUUGAACUGAGAGCCUUGUGUAGCUCAGGAACCUAUAGGCUCAGGAUGUAGUGAAUCCAUUGUAUUGGAGGAAAACCAAUCGACAUCAGCACCUGAACAGUUUGUGUUGAGGAGGCAGAAACAACCUUCCAGACAAGGGUCCCUUAGGCCACACUGAUAACUCAGAAGAUCGUAAUUUUACGUGGGGACAAGGACAAAAUACUUGAGUCUGGAGUGUACUUAGAAUCAGCUUAAUCAGACGUGCCAUGCGCUAAGAGAAGCAAGCUUUUUUUUUUUUCUCCAAUCUAUGAUUCUUGCUGCUGCCAUUCAUCAAGUCACAGGAAGUCGAAAAUUGGACGGCAAAAUUGGGAUUCUGUAGAGAAUUUUGACAUUCAGAACAGCAAAACCAGUUGGGUAAGGCAGGCUGAGAGGUGAUUUCCACGCAGAUGCCAGGCCUCCCAGCUUGCCUGCUGCACGGCCCGGGAAGCAUCAUUGAGAUGCUGUUCUCAGGGUGACUGUAUAUCCUGGGACCUCCAAGAAGUUCUUUUCUUUUUCAGGGCCACUAUGAAUUUCAUUAGGUUUACAAAUGUACUUGUUUCAUUUUAAGUUUUUUCCUUUAUUCUUUUUUUUUUAACAAAAUAAAAGUUAAAAAAAAAAAGCUAGUUGGACAAGACAAACCAACAGAAGGAAAAGAGCCCAAGAGAAGGCAGUAGAAUUAGAAAUCUACUCACUUACACACUCAGCACUCUCAUGGGAAUACUAAACUAAAAGCUAUUAUAUACACGUAGAGGACGUGCAGAUCCACGCAGGCCCGGUACCUGCUGCCUCAGUCUCUGUGAGUUUAUAUGGGCUUUGCUCAGUUGACUUAGAGGGCCUUGCUUUCCUGGUGCCCUGCAUCUCUUAUGGCUCCUCCUCCUCUUCCACAGGGUUCCCUGCCCUCUGAGGGCUACUCGUGGGCUCCUUCCUGCUGACUAAGCCGGGCUGCCCCCUCACACCAACACUUGGCACCUCUGGCUCACCAUGUCCUCUGUCUCUUUCAGAAUCUAUAAUAAUUUGCCGGAAGU